rnacentral:rRNA from 1 species
CCUACGGGUGGCAGCAGUGAGGAAUAUUGGUCAAUGGGCUUACGCCUGAACCAGCCAAGUCGCGUGAGGGAAGACUGCCCUAUGGGUUGUAAACCUCUUUUGUCAGGGAGCAACGCCGGCUACGUGUAGCCGGACGGAGAGUACCUGAAGAAAAAGCAUCGGCUAACUCCGUGCCAGCAGCCGCGGUAAUACGUAGGAUGCGAGCGUUAUCCGGAUUUAUUGGGUUAAAAGGUUGCGUAGGCGGAAGGCCAAGUCAGUGGUAAAAUCGCGGGGCUCAACCUCGCUCCGCCGUUGAAACUGGCGUUCUGGAGUGGGCGAGAAGAUAGCGGAAUGCGUGGUGUAGCGGUGAAAUGCAUAGAUAUCACGAAGAACUCCGAUUGCGAAGGCAGCAUACCGGCGCCCAACUGACGCUGAAGCGCGAAAGCGUGGGUAGCGAACAGGAUUAGAUACCCCGGUAGUC